rnacentral:rRNA from 1 species
GACGAACGCUGGCGGCGUGCUUAACACAUGCAAGUCGAACGGAAAGGCCCUGCUUUUGUGGGGUGCUCGAGGGGCGAACGGGGGAGUAACACGUGAGUAACCUGCCCCUGACUUUGGGAUAACUUCAGGAAACUGGGGCUAAUACCGGAUAGGAUCUCCUGCUGCAUGGUGGGGGUUGGAAAGUUUCGGCGGUUGGGGAUGGACUAGCGGCUUAUCAGCUUGUUGGUGGGGUAGUGGCUUACCAAGGCUUUGACGGGUAGCCGGCCUGAGAGGGUGACCGGCCACACUGGGACUGAGAUACGGCACGGACUACUACGGGAGGCAGCAGUGGGGAAUAUUGCACAAUGGGCGGAAGCCUGAUGCAGCAACGCCGCGUGCGGGAUGACGGCCUUCGGGUUGUAAUCCGCUUUCGCCUGUGACGAAGCGUGAGUGACGGUAAUGGGUAAAGAAGCACCGGCUAACUACGUG